rnacentral:ncRNA from 2 species
UUUACCUUUGCAGGAGCUGGUGUGCUUGAAAAAGCGCUUAAAAGGGAAUCCGGUGAAAAUCCGGAGCAGACCCGCUGCUGUAAGCUUCAAACCAAAAUUUUUUGAAAAUAACAUCCACUGUUUUUUUUAACGGGAAGGAUUUCAAAAAUGAAGUAAGUCAGAAGACCUGCCAGAAAUGUUGUGAUGAA